rnacentral:rRNA from 1 species
CAGCAGCCGCGGUAAUACGUAGGGUGCGAGCGUUAAUCGGAAUUACUGGGCGUAAAGCGUGCGCAGGCGGUUUUGUAAGCCAGAUGUGAAAUCCCCGGGCUUAACCUGGGAAUGGCAUUUGGGACUGCAAGGCUUGAGUGCGGCAGAGGAGACUGGAAUUCCCGGUGUAGCAGUGAAAUGCGUAGAUAUCGGGAGGAAUACCGAUGGCGAAGGCAGGUCUCUGGGCUGACACUGACGCUCAUGCACGAAAGCGUGGGGAGCAAACAGGAUUAGAUACCCUGGUAGUCCACGCCCUAAACGAUGUCGACUGGUUGUUGGGGGUUUGACACUCUCAGUAACGAAGCUAACGCGGGAAGUCGACCGCCUGGGGAGUACGGCCGCAAGGCUGAAACUCAAAGGAAUUGACGG